UACGUAGGGGGCAAGCGUUGUCCGGAAUCAUUGGGCGUAAAGAGCGCGUAGGCGGCCCUGUAAGUCCGCUGUGAAAGUCAAGGGCUCAACCCUUGAAUGCCGGUGGAUACUGCAGGGCUAGAGUCCGGAAGAGGCGAGUGGAAUUCCUGGUGUAGCGGUGAAAUGCGCAGAUAUCAGGAGGAACACCAAUGGCGAAGGCAGCUCGCUGGGACGGUACUGACACUGAGACGCGAAAGCGUGGGGAGCAAACAGG
rnacentral:rRNA from 1 species